rnacentral:rRNA from 1 species
GGCCUAACACAUGCAAGUCGAGCGGCAGCACAAGUAAGUUUACUUAUGAGGUGGCGAGCGGCGGACGGGUGAGUAAUGCCUAGGGAUCUGCCCAGUCGAGGGGGAUAACAGUUGGAAACGACUGCUAAUACCGCAUACGCCCUACGGGGGAAAGAGGGGGACCUUCGGGCCUCUCGCGAUUGGAUGAACCUAGGUGGGAUUAGCUAGUUGGUGAGGUAAUGGCUCACCAAGGCGACGAUCCCUAGCUGUUCUGAGAGGAUGAUCAGCCGCACUGGGACUGAGACACGGCCCAGACUCCUACGGGAGGCAGCAGUGGGGAAUAUUGCACAAUGGGGGAAACCCUGAUGCGGCCAUGCCGCGUGUGUAGAAGAAGGCCUUCGGGUUGUAAAGCACUUUCAGUAGGGAGGAACAGGGUGAGUCUUAAUACGGCUCAUCUGUGACGUUACCUACAGUAGAAGGACCGGCUAACUCCGUGCCAGCAGCCGCGGUAAUACGGAGGGUCCGAGCGUUAAUCGGAAUUACUUGGGCGUAAA